rnacentral:lncRNA from 1 species
CGAUCUGCAAGUCUCGAUCUGGAAGUCUCGAAGUGUGCAGCUUAGCAGUUGGCUGAAGACUGUCCUAGGAGGACCGCUCACCAGGGUUCUGGAGGCAAUUUGCUGCCAGAGGUGUGUUUUUCUUCCAAAAGGUCGCCUCACAGCUCUCGGUUCCUCUCAGUGCACACUUCCUAGACAGCAAAUUCUGGGUUCCAGGAACUGCUCCUUCCCCUGUUCCUGCCAUAGUGGGGAGAGUGAGAGUUCUCCUGCGGAGCCCCAUGGGUUUUGUGAACGCUCCACCUACAUCUUUGGAAAUGGUCCCCUACUUAAACCAUCUGAGAAUUAUCCUAAUUUGAGCGUGCCAUCUGUUUCUAGUUGGGAUACUGACUCAUGCUGUACUUUAUAAAUGGUUUAAUUGCCUGCUUUUUAUUUUGUUCUACAAUAUGUCUUGAACAUUUUUGCGUGUUUUUCAGUGUUAUG